rnacentral:rRNA from 1 species
AGUCGAACGAGACCUUCGGGUCUAGUGGCGCACGGGUGCGUAACGCGUGGGAAUCUGCCCUUGGGUUCGGAAUAACAGUUGGAAACGACUGCUAAUACCGGAUGAUGACGAAAGUCCAAAGAUUUAUCGCCCAGGGAUGAGCCCGCGUAGGAUUAGCUAGUUGGUGAGGUAAAGGCUCACCAAGGCUACGAUCCUUAGCUGGUCUGAGAGGAUGAUCAGCCACACUGGGACUGAGACACGGCCCAGACUCCUACGGGAGGCAGCAGUAGGGAAUAUUGGACAAUGGGGGCAACCCUGAUCCAGCAAUGCCGCGUGAGUGAUGAAGGCCUUAGGGUUGUAAAGCUCUUUUACCCGGGAUGAUAAUGACAGUACCGGGAGAAUAAGCCCCGGCUAACUCCGUGCCAGCAGCCGCGGUAAUACGGAGGGGGCUAGCGUUGAUCAGAAUUACUGGGCGUAAUGCGCACGUAGGCGGCUAUUU